CAAGAGGAGAGUUGUAUUUUUAUUUUUCAAGUUCAUAUCAUACAUUUGAUCAACUAGAGAUUGAUAGCAUGAAUGUGACUAGUGAGCAACAUGACACACAACACAAUUGUAAGAAGAAAUCCAAAUGUACAUAUGUAUAAAUGGUCUCAACAUAGAUAUCACAUUUGUAAAUAGGUAGACAAAUAGACAAGCAUAUAUAAACAUGAAUAAACACAAAUAAACCAGCAGUAGAUUUCUUUUUUUCUUUUAAAUAAAAAUGAGGAAUGUAUUGCUGCAUAUUAAAUGUUUUAAAAUGAAUCUUGAAUGUAUAGGUGAGCUAAGUUUCAGAAGGAGAAUGCUUGAAUUGUUGAAUUGCCCUGAAUUACAAGAGUUUCUAUAUAACUUUAAGUAAAACCUGAAUUUAUCAUUGGUUUAACUCAUUCAGAAUUGAAAAAAAAAAAGAAAUACUGAAACAUUAUAAAUAUAGUACAACUUGUCCACUAAAUCAAAGGGCAACUGCUUUAGGAGGACCAUCAUGUUGUUUUGUCUUCUGUGUUAGUACAGACUUAAGAUUGAAUAAAAGAUAACUACAUUGUAUGAGUGACUAUCAGAACAUAUAAAGUAUGAUUUUGUUUUUAAAAUAUAAAGUGGUAUUUGAUAUUUUUUGGCUCAUAUAAAGUGGAAGGUAAUCAGAACAGUGUUGUUGUGUAUAAGUCAAUGCUUACUUUAAAACAUGUUUAAUUUAUUGAAAAGAAGAAAUGAUUAGGUUAGAAAAUAUAUUCAUGAAUUCCAUCCAACUAACACAUAGAAAUAGGAAUGGAGAACUGAAAUAAAAUAUUUUAUUGAAAACAAAAGAUUGUAAUAAUCAUUUUCAUUAAUUCUAUACAGAGUUAUUUCACUUUGUCAUUAAAACCACUAAAUAGAGUUCAACCAGUAUUAAGAAAGGCUAAAAAAAAUAAUUUAUGUACAAAUUUAUGAAAUUGUAAAAUUUCUCAUAAGUACCAGCCUUAUGUGAUAAUUCUUGAACUUCUGUGAUGGUUCUAACUGAAGCUAUUUGAAAGAAGUAAUUAGCUUGAUCAGUAAGUCAGAUCAGUUCAAACUGAAUCUAUUUGAAAGAAGUAAUUAGCUUGAACAGUAGGUCAGAUCAAUUCAAACUGAAUCUAUUUGAAAGAAGUAAUUAGCU